GUCUACAGCCAUGCCACCCUGAACAAGCUCGAUUUCAUCUGAUCUUGGAAGCUAAGCAGGGUUAGGCCUGAUUAGUAUUUGGAUGGGAAACCACCUAGGAAGACCAGGUGCUGUAGGUA
rnacentral:rRNA from 1 species